CUGAUCAUGUACUGUUAGGCUGAUGCUGGAGAGUCACCCUCACUUGUUGCUCGAGGAUUCAGCACUGUUCAGGCUGCUAGUGGUGGUGACCAACUUGAAAUUCAAGUUCCAGUUGAAAAGGUUGGUUUAAUAAUUGGGAAGGGUGGAGAAACUAAAAACUUGCAGACAAGAUCUGGGGAAGUCUUUCUUGUCCCAAUUUGUUCUAUAUUAUGUCCUUAAGUUAGGCGACUGGGCUCCUAAUGUUAUAAUGGUGGUUAUUCAAUCCUUGUUUGAUUUGCUGUUUCUCUCUCUCUAACAGUGUCAGUUACUCAACAUAAGUUACUGUCCAUCAACGGAAGAAGAUGUUCCCAAAGGGAAGAGUUUGGUUGUUGUCGCCUACAAUUCACUUGGAUGGGCCCGUACUGAUAUUAUCAGGAUCCCGGUUAAUGAUUAUAAUCUUGUCGUCAAAGACUCCUCGGGGAAUGUUGUUGAGUCUCAAUAUAUAGAAAUGGAUAAUGUGACAAGUGAACUGAGAAAGUUCUAUCUGAAGGCAUAUCUUGGGAUUUCAGACAUCAGAGCUGCCAAAUAUUGGCUCGUCUUUCCGGCAUCUGUGCCACCUUUGGGCUGGAACACUUACUUCAUCUCUAAAGGAACUCAAAAAGGAAGGAGACGAAAAUUUAUGUCUAUGAUGGAUGUUGCACAGAAUGAAACUAUCAAUAUUGGACCAGGAAACUUGAAACUGUCAAUUUCCACCACAUCAGGGCAACUUACUCGCAUCUUCAAUUCUAAAACAGGAGUCGAUAUACCUGUGCAACAAAGCUAUCUUUGGUAUGCUUCAAGUCCAGGAGAUGCCACCACUCUAGAGUAUAUAUUUUGAUGCAACUGUCACAGAAUGUAUCGGCCAUUAAUUGAUGAUGUAUACUUGAUAUUUGGUUCAUUUGUAUAAUAAUGUAUGAAUUUUUUGGAUGAUAUAUAAUAUUGUCAUCGUUGAUUU